rnacentral:rRNA from 1 species
UACAGAGGUCUCAAGCGUUGUUCGGAUUCAUUGGGCGUAAAGGGUGCGUAGGCGGCGCGGUAAGUCGGGUGUGAAAUCUUGGAGCUUAACUCCGAAACUGCAUUCGAUACUGCCGUGCUUGAGGACUGGAGAGGAGACUGGAAUUUACGGUGUAGCGGUGAAAUGCGUAGAUAUCGUAAGGAAGACCAGUGGCGAAGGCGGGUCUCUGGACAGUUCCUGACGCUGAGGCGCGAAAGCUAGGGGAGCAAACGGGG